CCUGGGUACCCAGGGUCUCCAACUCCUGUGGCUAGUGGCCCCAAGCUGCAGGACCCCCGCCGGGGGCUUUCCUCUCCUGGCAGAUAACGCCAAGGCCUAUUUCAAGCGGGCGAAGGCCCACGCUGCUGUCUGGAAUGAGCGGGAGGCACGGGAGGACUUCCUGCGGGUGGCUCACCUCGACCCCUCCAUGGCGGCUGCUGUGAAGAAGGAGCUGAAGCAGCUGGGGGAGAGGAUGAGGAAGAAGCAUGUGGAGGAUCAGAAACGCUACCAGGGGCUCUUCCAGCUGCCCCGGGGGCCACAGGCCAGCAAGGGGCAGGAGAGCAGGGAGGUGGGCGAUGGGGCAAUGCUGCGGGAAGAGGCACCCCAGGGUAAGGUUGGGGUCCCGGAGACCCCUGGGCAGGGGGAGUGGCGUGCAGGGACCGAAGAAGCAGAACAACCAGGGGCUGACCAAGCAGAACAAGGGACCCCCGGGGCUGGGUGCGAAGGGGCAGUGCCAGGAGGAGAAGCAGCCCAGGGGCAGGCUGCAGGGGUGGAGGUGGAAGUGAGGGAUAGGACAGGACUGGGGGAAGAAGGAAACCCGGGCACCUCUGGGGCAGAGCCAGAGAGCAGGGGAGCAGAGAAGGGGGUAGAGGAGGAGGGGGAAGAAGAGGAGAAGGUGGAAGAGAAAGAAAAAGAGGAGAGGGAGGAGGAGAAAGCAGAGGAGGAGAAAGUGGAGGAGGAUGACGAGGAAGAGAGCCCAGCAGCAGAGAGGGAAAAGCUGGCUGUAGGGCAAUAUGAGGCAGCAGGGAGGACAGAGGCAGCAGGGUUUGGGCAGGGACUGGAACAGGGAGCCAGUGGGGCAGAGAGAACUGGCACAGGGAGCACGGCCAGGGCUGAGCCAGGCAGAACCCCAGCACCCGGGCCAUCCAGUGAGAGGCUGGGGCCAGCCGAGGGGCCCCCGGAGCUGGAGGAUGAAACACCUGUAGAGGCACUGGAAGAGGGGAGUUGUGGGGAGCAGCCAGCAGGCAGUGGCCAAGGAAAUGCUGGGGAAGGCAAUAUCCCCCCAGACAGCUUCACCCCCAGGACAGUGCUCCAGGCUGGGCACGCGGAGGCAGAGGAGGAGCUGGGUGGAGGGGCAGAAGUACCCCCCUGCCCCAUAGCAGCCAGGG
rnacentral:lncRNA from 1 species